CUCGUUGGUCCGCCAUUGGUUCGAGGCAGAACACCAAUUCCACGUGUAAUUGACUUGAUCCACGUUACCACCGAAAACGAGGGUUGCCACUCGGGAGAACACGUAAACGACGUAAAGAAGUUUCAUACAGUUCUGUCUUCCUCGAAUUAAACAAAAUAUCCAAACAUGUGAUAGCUAGAAGUUUCGUG